rnacentral:ncRNA from 2 species
AAUUUCAUAUCCGAAAUAGGUGCUUGCCUUUCCGCUAUCCAAGCGUAGGGUAAGCUUAAAAGGGAAGAUCGGUUAGAAGCCGACGCGGUCCCGCCACUGUAACAGAGGAGUCAACGUCUCUAUGCCACUGAUCGACCGAUUGGGAAGGCUGACGUUCGAUGAAGAUCCUGAAGCCAGGAGACCUGCCUAUUUCAGCAGCACAGU